rnacentral:rRNA from 1 species
AUUGAACGCUGGCGGCAGGCCUAACACAUGCAAGUCGAACGAGUGGCGGACGGGUGAGUAAUGUAUGGGAAACUGCAUGCUGGAGGGGGAUAACUACUGGAAACGGGAGCUAAUACCGCAUACCAUCGGAUGUGCCCAGAUGGGAUUAGCUAGUAGGUGGGGUAAAGGCUCACCUAGGCGACGAUCCCUAGCUGGUCUGAGAGGAUGACCGGCCACACUGGACUUGGGACACGGUCCGAACUCCAAGGGGGGGCAGCAGUGGGGAAUAUUGGAAAAUGGGCGAAAGCCUGCUGCAGCAAUGCCGCUUGUAUGAAGAAGGCCUUCGGGUUGUAAAGUACUUUCAGCGGGGAGGCGUUACCCGCAGAGGAAGCACCGGCUAACUCCGUGCCAGCAGCCGCGGUAAUUC